AACCCGGGUGAAAGCCUGGGGUGCCCCGCGAGGGGAGCCCUAGCACAGGUGCUGCAUGGCCGUCGUCAGCUCGUGCCGUGAGGUGUUGGGUUAAGUCCCGCAACGAGCGCAACCCCCGCGUUAGUUGCCAGCGGUUCGGCCGGGCACUCUAACGGGACUGCCCGCGAAAGCGGGAGGAAGGAGGGGACGACGUCUGGUCAGCAUGGCCCUUACGGCCUGGGCGACACACGUGCUACAAUGCCCACUACAAAGCGAUGCCACCCGGCAACGGGGAGCUAAUCGCAAAAAGGUGGGCCCAGUUCGGAUUGGGGUCUGCAACCCGACCCCAUGAAGCCGGAAUCGCUAGUAAUCGCGGAUCAGCCAUGCCCGCGGCCCGAAUACGUUCCCGGGCCUU
rnacentral:rRNA from 1 species